UGGCGAACGGGUGAGUAACACGUGGGUGAUCUGCCCUGCACUUCGGGAUAAGCCUGGGAAACUGGGUCUAAUACCGGAUAGGACGAUGGUUUGGAUGCCAUUGUGGAAAGUUUUUCGGUGUGGGAUGAGCUCGCGGCCUAUCAGCUUGUUGGUGGGGUAAUGGCCUACCAAGGCGUCGACGUGUAGCCGGCCUGAGAGGGUGUACGGCCACAUUGGGACUGAGAUACGGCCCAG
rnacentral:rRNA from 1 species